rnacentral:rRNA from 1 species
GUGGGGAAUAUUGGACAAUGGGCGCAAGCCUGAUCCAGCCAUACCGCGUGGGUGAAGAAGGCCUUCGGGUUGUAAACUGCUUUUGUACGGAACGAAAAGGCUCUGGUUAAUACCUGGGGCUCAUGACGGUACCGUAAGAAUAAGCACCGGCUAACUACGUGCCAGCAGCCGCGGUAAUACGUAGGGUGCAAGCGUUAAUCGGAAUUACUGGGCGUAAAGCGUGCGCAGGCGGUUUUGUAAGACAGACGUGAAAUCCCCGGGCUCAACCUGGGAAUGGCGUUUGUGACUGCAAAGCUGGAGUGCGGCAGAGGGGGAUGGAAUUCCGCGUGUAGCAGUGAAAUGCGUAGAUAUGCGGAGGAACACCGAUGGCGAAGGCAAUCCCCUGGGCCUGCACUGACGCUCAUGCACGAAAGCGUGGGGAGCAAACAGGAUUAGAAACCCCAGUAGUCC